UACGUAGGGUGCAAGCGUUAAUCGGAAUUACUGGGCGUAAAGGGCUCGUAGGUGGCCAACUAAGUCGGACGUGAAAUCCCUCAGCUUAACUGGGGAACUGCGUCCGAUACUGGAUGGCUUGAGUUUGGGAGAGGGAUGCGGAAUUCCAGGUGUAGCGGUGAAAUGCGUAGAUAUCUGGAGGAACACCGGUGGCGAAGGCGGCAUCCUGGACCAACACUGACACUGAGGAGCGAAAGCCAGGGGAGCAAACGGG
rnacentral:rRNA from 1 species